GGCGAACUGCUCAGUAACACGUAGCUAACCUACCCUUAAGUCAAGGAUACCCUCGGGAAACUGAGGCUAAACCUUGAUAUGGAACAUGCCCUGGAAAGACUUGUUCCUUAAACUCGUGCUUAAGGAUGUGGCUGCGGUGGAUUAGGUUGUUGGCGGGGUAAUAGCCCACCAAGCCGAAGAUCCAUAAGGGCUCUUAGCGGAGAAGCCCUGAGAGGGAAUCUGAGACACUAUUCCCAGCCCUACGGGGUGCAGCAGUUAGGUAUAAUCUACAAUGCACGCAAGUGUGAUAGUUUGAGUCAGAGUGCUUUGCAAUUUGCAAAGCUUUUGCCAAAUGUAAAAAGUUUGGCGAAUAAGGACUGGGUAAGACGAGUGCCAGCCGCCGCGGUAAUACUCGCGGUCCAAGUCGCAGCCAUUUUUAUUGGGUCUAAAACAUCCGUAGCUUGCUUCGUAAGUUUCUUGUGAAAUCCUACAUCUCAAAUGUGGGGCGUGCAAGAAGUACUGCGGAGCUAGAGACUGGGAGGCGUAAGAAGUACGUUCGGAGUAAUGGUAAAAUAUUUUAAUCUCGAGCGGACUCACAAUCGCGAAGGCAUCUUACGAGAACAGUUCUGACAGUCAGGGAUGAAGGCUAGGGGCGCAAAACGGAUUAGAUACCCGUGUAGUCCUAGCAGUAAACGCUGCACACUAAACCUUGUGAUCUCCUCGAGAGAUUGCAGGGCUGCAGAGAAGUCGAAGAGUGUGCUACCUGGGAAGUAUAGUCGCAAGGCUGAAACUUAAAGGAAUUGGCGGGGAGACACUACAACAGGUGACGCGUGCGGUUCAAUUAGAUUAUACACCGUGAACCUCACCCGGAGCGACAGCAGAAUGAAGGUCAGUCUGAAGGGCUUACCUGACACGCUGAGAGGAGUUGCAUGGCCGACGUCAGCCUGUGCUGUGAAGUGACCUGUUAAAUCAGGUAACAGGCAAGACCCACGCGCAUAUUUACUAA
rnacentral:rRNA from 1 species